AUCCAGCUGACGAGUCCCAAAUAGGACAAAACGCGCUUCUUGGAU
rnacentral:hammerhead_ribozyme from 1 species